GCCGAUGUAGCUCAGUUGGUAGAGCAGCGCUUUCGUAAAGCGCGGGUCGGUGGUUCGAUCCCACUCAUCGGCU
rnacentral:tRNA from 1 species